rnacentral:rRNA from 1 species
CCUACGGGCGGCAGCAGUGGGGAAUAUUGGACAAUGGGCGAAAGCCUGAUCCAGCCAUGCCGCGUGUGUGAAGAAGGCCUUCGGGUUGUAAAGCACUUUCAGUGGGGAAGAAAGCCUUGGGGCUAAUACCCUCGAGGAAGGACAUCACCCACAGAAGAAGCACCGGCUAACUCCGUGCCCGCAGCCGCGGUAAUACGGAGGGUGCGAGCGUUAAUCGGAAUUACUGGGCGUAAAGCGCGCGUAGGCGGUCUGAUAAGCCGGUUGUGAAAGCCCCGGGCUCAACCUGGGAACGGCAUCCGGAACUGUCAGGCUAGAGUGCAGGAGAGGAAGGUAGAAUUCCCGGUGUAGCGGUGAAAUGCGUAGAGAUCGGGAGGAAUACCAGUGGCGAAGGCGGCCUGCUGGACUGACACUGACGCUGAGGUGCGAAAGCGUGGGUAGCAAACAGGAUUAGAUACCCGUGUAGUC